GAGAUUACAGGCGUGAGCCACUGCGCCUGGCCUGCUUAUCUAUUUUUCUACUGAUUUAGUUUGUUUCCAGUGUUUUCACCAUCAAACCCAAUGCACUAAGGAAGAUGCCCGAAUUUGUCUCCUGACGCGACAUAUGCUAGAGUUUCUUCAGGACAGAGAGGAGAGAAGCCAGACGUGAAGGAUAUAAAUUGAACCAACUUGGACUGAAGAUCCCAGCCAGGAGGAUCUGCUCCCCCAGGAAGGGAACUGAUUUGUCCUCGAGGCCCCUGGGAUAGGAGAAGCCACAGCAUCCUGUUGUUUGAUCUUCUUAUCUUCAAGCAGGCAUGACUCGGUUCCAGAAAUACAAGCCAUAAGAUAGACCUCCAGACUCCUAGAGACGAUCUGAAGCUGCAGAAGCCCUCCACUGAAAGACCGGACCCACUGCCUACUCCUCCUGGCAGGUGCCCUGGACAAGGGCACAGACUUCACAGCGUUCAAGUGUGAAGGGAUUGUCCUUCUCCAGCCCUGGAUAUUAAAAGGUCUACCCCGAUGAGCCAUGGAGGGACUCUGAGUGUGUGUGUGUGUGUGUGUGUGUGUGUGUGUGUGUGUGUGUGUUGGAGGAGUUGCUUAUGGAAAAUAUUUUUCCUGCUCUUAAAAAGGGACUCCUGCCAGGCAUGGUGGCUCAUGCCUGUAAUCCAAGCAGUUUGGGAGGCCGAGGCAGGUGGAUCACCUGAGGUCAG
rnacentral:lncRNA from 1 species